rnacentral:lncRNA from 1 species
CUGCCUGCAUUAGGGAUCGUCUUGGAAUCAGUUCAUCUCUGUUGCUUUUCUUUGAGGUUCUUAAUAAAAACAAAAACAGAAACUGUGUUUUUUCUGGUAGUCAUUUAUUGUCAGAUGCCUCCAGCCCCUGGGGUCUUGUUUGGAAACCCUCCUGUUCCUGCUCCUGCCUUUGGCCCAGUUUCACCUCCAGGUUACUGGAGACUGGGCUGGUGUGGGGCUCCAGUCCUGCCUAGCAGGGACAUCUGCCACUCCAGAUGGGCACUCACCAAAAACCUCCUGAGGAGACGAAGACCCUGGUCCUCCAGGAGAGUGAGUGACUGCGCUCUCCACGUGGGUGGGCAGGAGUGUCAUUCCCAGCCAGACUUCGCCCAGGGCCUGGGAGACCCCGAGGGCCUUGUGGCUGGAAAGAAUUCUAAAGCAGGAAAUGAAACACCCAUGCAUCACCCGGGACUAACUACGUCAGAAUUGCACUGGUACUGCCGGCGCUCAGGAUAUCUCACAAAACGUUCUGUGGCUGGCAUCCUGCCUUUAAAGUCACACACCCCAAACCCGGUCCCAGGCACGGGCCCUCUGUUGGGUUUGCAUCGCAUGCUCUUGCAUCCAUCCCACAAAAGCCUGCGGGGCACUAAACCCAGGCCUUGUGGGGAGGGAGUUGACAAAGACGAGCCUUUCCCCACGGGAGCCUCUUGGCCUUUCCCCGCUCUGGUUGAGAGCUGCGUGUCUGGUGACUUCCUGGCUGGCUCUGAUGUGGCCCCUCGGCCCUCCUGGCUGCUGGCUCCUCCGUGUUGUGCCGAGUAAACAGUUCCCAGGUGCUACUCCCUGCCAGCUGGACAGAAAUGCGUCUGCGUGGUGAAGCUGGGCCGUCUGCAGUGCCAUCUGCUCCGGAUGUGGAGUCCCGUUGCCAUGGUACCCAAACUGAUGCGGGACAGAAUCUCACGAAGUCACUAAGUUGUACAGGCUGGGCUUGGAUUUAUGAUCCUCCUGCUUCAGCCUCCCAGGAUGCUGGGAUUGCAGAUGUACAUCACCCCGCCCAGCUCUCCUCUCUACAGAGGAAACUGAGUCACCGAUUUCUGGAUGAAACUAGAACUUAGCCCAUGGGAAAGAGAAGCGACUGAAUAACGCUCAAUGAGGAGCUUGCAUUGGGAGACUGGGGGCAGAAAUAAUACCAUAGGUUAAAAAAUACACAAAUAUACAAAUAGGAAAUCUGCUCUGAUCUGUGUCUCAGAGAUGACCACUUUUAACACCGGGUGUUAUCUUGUAAGAUGCCUUUCAAAGCUCAGGGUUGAGGGCAGGAGCUGCAUCUCCUGCAGACCGGAAGAGGAGAGAGUGCCGGUGUGGACCAUGUCAGCAGCAGAGUCAGCUGCGGCUGCCCUGCCUCCGAAGCUCUGAGCUGGAGCCCAGCUGGCCCAGUCCGGUUCCGUCCAGCGGAGGAGGGCGUCCCUGGCGCCUGGGUGUUUUGGAAACUCCUUCUGGCACUCGCAUUCCCUGACCCCAGAUGACAGAAGUGGCUCUGACAGCUGCAGGGCACUUGACAUACAUUGUGGGUCACAGGCGAGAGCUCCCCUUCCGUGCUGCGGGGCUGCCUGCCCGGGGCUGGCUUGGGAGUGGUCUCUCCCCUGAUUUCUCACCUUCAGCCCUGUCCUUCGCCAGAGUCACAGCCUCCUUGAUGGAGGGAACUGGGCUGCUGGGUGGUGAGAGCCAGGCUCCCCUCCCCUGAGGCCAGACCAGCCUGCUUUGGUUUGUGAUUGGAAUUCUGAUUGACCCCAGGGCCAUGGUGCUGAGGUAUGUAUGCCCCAGCCAUUUACUUCUGUUGCUGCUCUUUUGAGACAGGGUCUUGCUAGUCACUACUCACCCAGGCUGGGCUCGGAUUUGUGAUCCUCCUGCUUCAGCCUCCUGAGUACUGGAACUAUAGGCGUGUGCCACCACGGCUGGCUGCAUACACUUCUUCACAGCCUUUCGAGGCAAACCCUAAUUACUCCCAUUUUACCGAGGAACAGCUGAG